rnacentral:lncRNA from 13 species
CUUCUCUUCCGCCCUGACUGUGAGCUUUCUGAGGCCUUUCCAGAAGCGGAGUGAAGCUGCUGUGCUUCCUGGGCAGCCUGCAGACCUGUGGGCCAGUUGAGCCUCUUUUCUUUAUAAAUGACUCGUUCUUCAGAAAGCCAAGCACCAUAGGUUCUCACUCGUAGUAUUCCCUUAGAGUGAUGUAAGAAUGCCCUAACCAGGCUUCUACAGCAGGACAGUGAGGGUGACUAUUACAGCGAGCGUGCGAUAACACACACCACAGGUCCACUUCUGAGCAGGAUCGGAUACAGGGGACGUGUACCACCGGAAGAUGAGGCAGAGAUUGUAGUG